GGUACUCGAGUGGCGAACGGGUGAGUAACACGUGGGUGAUCUGCCUUGCACUUCGGGAUAAGCUUGGGAAACUGGGUCUAAUACCGGAUAGGACAGCUGUUUAGUGUCAGUUGUGGAAAGUUUUUUCGGUGCAAGAUGAGCUCGCGGCCUAUCAGCUUGUUGGUGGGGUAAUGGCCUACCAAGGCGUCGACGGGUAGCCGGCCUGAGAGGGUGUACGGCCACAUUGGGACUGAGAUACGGCCCAGACUCCUACGGGAGGCAGCAGUGGGGAAUAUUGCACAAUGGGCGGAAGCCUGAUGCAGCGACGCCGCGUGGGGGAUGAAGGCCUUCGGGUUGUAAACUCCUUUCGACAGGGACGAAGCGUAAGUGACGGUACCUGUAUAAGAAGCACCGGCUAACUACGUGCCAGCAGCCGCGGUAAUACGUAGGGUGCGAGCGUUGUCCGGAAUUACUGGGCGUAAAGAGCUCGUAGGUGGUUUGUCGCGUCGUCUGUGAAAUUCCGGGGCUUAACUCCGGGCGUGCAGGCGAUACGGGCUGACUUGAGUGCUGUAGGGGAGACUGGAAUUCCUGGUGUAGCGGUGAAAUGCGCAGAUAUCAGGAGGAACACCGAUGGCGAAGGCAGGUCUCUGGGCAGUAACUGACGCUGAGGAGCGAAAGCAUGGGUAGCGAACAGGAUUAGAUACCCUGGUAGUCCAUGCCGUAAACGGUGGGCGCUAGGUGUAGGGGGCUUCCACGUCUUCUGUGCCGUAGCUAACGCAUUAAGCGCCCCGCCUGGGGAGUACGGCCGCAAGGCUAAAACUCAAAGGAAUUGACGGGGGCCCGCACAAGCGGCGGAGCAUGUGGAUUAAUUCGAUGCAACGCGAAGAACCUUACCUG
rnacentral:rRNA from 1 species